AAAUAAAUAUAUAAACUAAAGAUACUUUCGGGGCACAGCCCCUUCGUCUGUGCCCCGAAAAGUGUCUUUACUUUAUGUAU